ensembl:lncRNA
CCUCAUUUCAUGGCAAUGAUUCUGAAUGUUCAAUGGAUAUUGUUUUUUUGUUUUGUUUUGUUUUUUAAAAUGCCUAGAGUCUGUGAAAGUGCCUAGAGGUCAGAUCAGGUUAAACAUCAUGGACUAAUCAUUUGUUGGUUUAAAGCAAAUGUGUAGAGGAAUAGUAUCUGAACAUUGGAAAAAGGGACUUACCAUGAUAUGAACUCUGCAUACUGACAAUGCCAACACUGACCAUGUGUAGAUUGCAAGAAGUGAAAGAUUAAUCUGUACUGCCCUCAUCUGGAGAAAUGGCUCAUGUCAAUGCAUUUAGUGCAUCUCCUUUCCAUAAAUAGCAUGUUGGUCAGUGUGUAAGUCGACUCGCCAUUUGAUCAAUGGAAAGCAAC